rnacentral:tRNA from 1 species
AGAAACGUAGGUUAAACAAACCCGUGGCCUUCAAAGCCACAAAUGCAGGUCCACAUCCUGCAGUUUCUG